UACGUAGGGGGCAAGCGUUGUCCGGAUUUAUUGGGCGUAAAGAGCGUGUAGGCGGCCAGAUAGGUCUGUUGUGAAAACUCGAGGCUCAAUCUCGAGACGCCGAUGGAAACCAUUUGGCUAGAGUCCGGAAGAGGAGAGUGGAAUUCCUGGUGUAGCGGUGAAAUGCGCAGAUAUCAGGAAGAACACCCGUGGCUAAGGCGGCUCUCUAGUACGGUACUGACGCUGAGACGCGAAAGCGUGGGGAGCGAACAGG
rnacentral:rRNA from 1 species